CACGUAGGGGGCAAGCGUUGUCCGGAUUUAUUGGGCGUAAAGAGCUCGUAGGCGGUUCGGCAAGUCGGGUGUGAAACCCCCAGGCUCAACCUGGGGACGCCACCCGAUACUGCUGUGACUUGAGUCCGGUAGGGGAGCGUGGAAUUCCUGGUGUAGCGGUGAAAUGCGCAGAUAUCAGGAGGAACACCAGCGGCGAAGGCGGCGCUCUGGGCCGGAACUGACGCUGAGGAGCGAAAGCAUGGGGAGCAAACAGG
rnacentral:rRNA from 1 species